rnacentral:rRNA from 1 species
GUUAAGCGACUAAGCGUACACGGUGGAUGCCCUGGCAGUCAGAGGCGAUGAAGGACGUGCUAAUCUGCGAUAAGCGUCGGUAAGGUGAUAUGAACCGUUAUAACCGGCGAUUUCCGAAUGGGGAAACCCAGUGUGUUUCGACACACUAUCAUUAACUGAAUCCAUAGGUUAAUGAGGCGAACCGGGGGAACUGAAACAUCUAAGUACCCCGAGGAAAAGAAAUCAACCGAGAUUCCCCCAGUAGCGGCGAGCGAACGGGGAGCAGCCCAGAGCCUGAAUCAGUGUGUGUGUUAGUGGAAGCGUCUGGAAAGGCGCGCGAUACAGGGUGACAGCCCCGUACACAAAAAUGCACAUGCUGUGAGCUCGAUGAGUAGGGCGGGACACGUGGUAUCCUGUCUGAAUAUGGGGGGACCAUCCUCCAAGGCUAAAUACUCCUGACUGACCGAUAGUGAACCAGUACCGUGAGGGAAAGGCGAAAAGAACCCCGGCGAGGGGAGUGAAAAAGAACCUGAAACCGUGUACGUACAAGCAGUGGGAGCACGCUUAGGCGUGUGACUGCGUACCUUUUGUAUAAUGGGUCAGCGACUUAUAUUCUGUAGCAAGGUUAACCGAAUAGGGGAGCCGAAGGGAAACCGAGUCUUAACUGGGCGUUAAGUUGCAGGGUAUAGACCCGAAACCCGGUGAUCUAGCCAUGGGCAGGUUGAAGGUUGGGUAACACUAACUGGAGGACCGAACCGACUAAUGUUGAAAAAUUAGCGGAUGACUUGUGGCUGGGGGUGAAAGGCCAAUCAAACCGGGAGAUAGCUGGUUCUCCCCGAAAGCUAUUUAGGUAGCGCCUCGUGAAUUCAUCUCCGGGGGUAGAGCACUGUUUCGGCAAGGGGGUCAUCCCGACUUACCAACCCGAUGCAAACUGCGAAUACCGGAGAAUGUUAUCACGGG